GGAAAGGAGAAGGAUAAAUGUGUGUGGGCACUGGCAAGAGGCCACACUCUUCAGGCCAUGUUCUGUAUCCCUCCCCUCUCCCAUUGCCUUGCAGAGUGUAUAGGCUCAGCUAUAUAAAAUAAUACAUUUAUUUCAAAAUUGUGUUAAAUGAGCUCAUCUCAGUCACUCAGCAGUUAUGAAAUCCUGCCAAGUGCUACACGUCUUGUAAAUUUAGAGGUUGUUGUUUUUUUUUUUCUUAAUUUGCAAAGGAUGAAAUACUACACAGUUGCUGAGGCAGAGAGGAGGCAUCUUCCUUCACCCAUAACAUUCUGAGGCACGAAGAACGAUGCUGAAAGCCAAGGUUUCUGAUUUGACCUUCCUCCUUAGAGCUUCUCAACAUGAAGAUUCCUGAUUCACAGGAGCUGUCUGCUCAGGGCAGGCAAAAUUAUCAUUCCCUGCACUCACAGCUGAGGAUUUUGAUGGGGUUGGUGACCAGCUCUAGCACAGCACAGAUUUUUCUCCUUUUCCUUCUCCUUUUCCUUCUCCAUUAUCACCAGCUUGGAACCAGGAACGGGUGAGACUCUUCUGCUGCUUCCCUCCUAACGAGGUUUUCUGUGAGUGUUCCAUGUCCUGCUGCUGCUGCUGCCAACGUGGAUGCGAAUGCCGUGGCUACAAAGGCUCCUCACUGUCUCAUGCCGGGUCCCUCAAAUCCAAGAGCUACUUGGCAGUUUCCAAGGCAACCACCUGUGGAAUAAUUAAAAAGGAUGGAAGUGUUAGCGUGCCAGAUAUAAGGAAUUCUUGCCUGGAGAGAGCGUUUCACUUUCUUCCGUCAUGAAGAAUCAAACAUGCUUCUGCCAGCAAAGUUAAGAAAAAGAAAGGGUGGCUGAGUUACACAAGUGAACCAGGACGACACAAAAUGUAAGUCGAAGAGGAGUGCUCAUUUUCCUAUUUUAUAAGAUUAUUGAUCAGCUUUUCUAGAAGACAUCCAUUUAAUUAUGAAGGCCAUUAGUAUUCCUCAUUUCCUGGUGUGUGAGUGCAGUUUGUAGAACUGUCUGGGUUCCCUGUUUCUGAGCCAUGUGGCUCAACAUGAGUGGCACAAGGUGGAUCUUUUCUCUCCCUUUGUCACCACUGUGUCAAGGCACUAAGGAGUUCAAAGCUGGGUUGUGUCUUAAUUACUGCUGUUGUAGCUGUGAUGAUCCAGGGAUGUGAAGAGGAGGGGUUUGAGGGCAAGAAGGGCUGGAAAGGGAUUUUAACCUCUAAAAGUAAUUAGAAUUGUCUGUCAUUUCAGCUGGUGUAAGAAAAGCUUGGACCUUACUUUGAGGCUGCUGUAUUUUGGCUGAGUAUUUUGGAAUACGUUUAAAACAUUUGGGACUUGGGUACUGUGAGAGUUCAUGGUUUGGUGGGGCUUGGAGCAGCCUGGCCUAGUGGACCACACAAGACCUUUUCCAUUUUGGUCAAGAGAGCAGCAUGUUCUUCAGUGAUAUUUUGCAUAGCAAACCUUACAGACCAUCUUUCUGAUUCACUUCUAGUAUUCAAUGGCACAUUUUAAAGAGAGAUGCUUCAAGCUGUCUUGAGCAGAGCGUGCUCUAUGUGAUAACAACAUCUACACUGCCAUUGUAAUAACAAAACCCAAGGUGAUUCUGGGUCUGGUUUCACACCAGCUAACAAGUGGACUCAUUAUAAGAUGAUGUGAGGUUUUCUAUGUAUUGUUGACUCAACUCUAAAAUACCUAUAACUCUGCAAAAUGCGUCUCGGCUUGUUUACUAAGUGAGAAGUGUAUUUUUAAUGCAUAGGUUUUGAAAUUAUUGGUGACUCCAGUUUUUCCAACAGCCUUUGUGGGGUGUUUUAGUUACAACUGUUUUUUACUUUUAUGGAUGCCAUUUUAAUUUAUACCUAUAUCUCCUCUUUUUAAAUUUUUUCUGUCGGAAAAUUUCUAAGUAAUUCUGCAGAACUACUUUUUAUAGACACUCAAUAUAAAAAAAAAAAAAUGGUAGAACAUGUGUCAGGCAUCUGCAAUUCCUUCAGCAUCAUGUUUUCCACAAUGAUUUAAUAGCUAUUGAGUCUCCUCAAAUAACUUUGUUUCCAAGACCUAUUUUAUGGUAAUAAAUCAUCUUGGCUGUAAAAUUCUUGAAAUGAUUCAGUAGGACAAUCGUUUCCUUAGCACAUUCCCUGAGAGAUCAUAGAUAGAAAUGGAAAAGUCCUUAACCAGGUCAGCUUUUCCCCUGCAAUACUUGUGGUCAGUGCUGGAAGUGAUAAUGAAGUUGCCAGCAUUUGUUCUGGUGAACUGCAGUUCUCCAGUGUUCCCUGUUCAUUUCUUGCUCAUUUACAGUGAGUGUGCUAUUAGAGGUACUAAAUUACACUAAGAAAUUCUGAGCCAGAUACAGAAUAAAAGAUUUGUCAUGGUGUGAUGGAACCUCUCAUUUUAAAAAAGGUCUGUCUCGAAAUUCAUAUAAAAAUACCAAUGAAAUAACCCAAGACUGCCUUAAUUUCCCUUUCCAUUUAUACCUGAGGGUGGAGGUGGUGUAGUCCUUGGGGUAGAGGUUGAUUUAAUAAAUUGUCAGGUAUGUGAGGGUGGUUGUGAUGCCUGAUCUGUCAAUCUCUGCAGGGUAGUCUUGCAUGAUGUAACCCCUUGUGGCUUUCUGACACCUGGGAAAGGCUGUUUAACUUGGUCAUUGCUGGGAGCAGGCAAGGAGGGAAUCCAACCAGGAGUCCAUGAGGAGUACAUCACAUGUGCCAAGAAAAAGGAAAUGUGGUUUUGCUCAGAACUCUGGACAUCUGGAGUUCUGGGUGAAUAACCAGGAGGUUAGAGAGGGAUUCAAGGAGAGAUGGUAUCCCUUGACCUAAAACGUGUAUCUCUGCUGGUUUCUUUGUGUGAUGUUUUCCAAUUUGAACAUCAUAUGGCUGCUCAGAGAAGCUGUGUCUGCCCCUGGAUCCCUGGAAGUGUCCAAGGCCAGGCU